rnacentral:rRNA from 1 species
UACAGAGGUCUCAAGCGUUGUUCGGAUUCAUUGGGCGUAAAGGGUGCGUAGGUGGCGCCGUAAGUCAGGUGUGAAAUUUCGGAGCUUAACUCCGAAACUGCAUUUGAUACUGCGGUGCUUGAGGACUGGAGAGGAGACUGGAAUUUGACGGUGUAGCAGUGAAAUGCGUAGAGAUCGUAAGGGAAGACCAGUGGCGAAGGCGGGUCUCGUGGACAGUUCCUGACACUGAGGCA